GCUAAUACCGCAUACGACCUACGGGUGAGAGUGGGGGACCGCAAGGCCUCACGCGAUUAGAUGAGCCGAUGUCCGAUUAGCUAGUUGGCGGGGUAAUGGCCCACCAAGGCGACGAUCGGUAGCUGGUCUGAGAGGAUGAUCAGCCACACUGGAACUGAGACACGGUCCAGACUCCUACGGGAGGCAGCAGUGGGGAAUAUUGGACAAUGGGCGCAAAGCCUGAUCCCAACCCAUACCCGCGUGGUGAAGAAGCCCUUCGGUUUGUAAAGCCCUUUUGUUGGGAAAGAAAUCCUAUCGGUUAAUAACCGGUGGGGAUGACGGUACCCAAAGAAUAAGCACCGGCUAACUUCGUGCCAGCAGCCGCGGUAAUACGAAGGGUGCAAGCGUUACUCGGAAUUACUGGGCGUAAAGCGUGCGUAGGUGGUGGUUUAAGUCCGUUGUGAAAGCCCUGGGCUCAACCUGGGAAUUGCAGUGGAUACUGGAUCACUAGAGUGUGGUAGAGGGAUGCGGAAUUUCUGGUGUAGCAGUGAAAUGCGUAGAGAUCAGAAGGACAUCCGUGGCGAA
rnacentral:rRNA from 1 species